rnacentral:rRNA from 1 species
UACGAAAGGUGUAAGCGUUACUCGGAAUCACUGGGCGUAAAGCGCACGUAGGCGGACUCGUAGGUCAAUUGUGAAAUACCUGGGCUCAACCCGGGAACUGCAGUUGAAACCGCUUGUCUUGAAUACCUGAGAGGGUGGGGGAAUACCUGGUGGAGAAGUGAAAUUCGUAGAGAUCAGGUGGAACACCGGAGGCGAAGGCGCCUGCCUGGCAGUGUAUUGACGCUGAGGUGCGAAAGUGCGGGGAGCAAACAGG